rnacentral:lncRNA from 1 species
UACAAUUAUCAAAAUAAAUAAUACUAAACAUGAUAACCUAAUUCAAAGAGUACAAAUACGAGUCAUACGUAUCAACUCUAAAAUAAAACUAAUAUAUUUAUUUUACAAGAAACAAUUAUGUGAAAUCAUAAUAGAAUUCGAAUAAGGAAACAAACGAACAAAUAAAAUUUAACAAAGGUAUCGCUGAAAGAGUACGGAAUCCGUACCUGAUACUUUCAAACCAUUUAUAGCACACUCCACAAAAUCCUACCCUCAAAUGCCAAUGAUAUCAAAUACGAAACGUUAUACAUCACCUAAACAUAUUCACCUCAAAUUAAAAAUAAUCCAAACUAAUAAUUCUAAAAUAAUUCAUAAUCUACUUAAUAUGCCUUUAAUCGUCGCUUUAUAUCAAUCAUUAAUACUCCAAAAUUUAUAUUCCAAGUAUAACUCUUUAAAUCCCCUUCGUUCGAACUAAUUACACAAAUUAACAAUAAUUAAUAAAUAUCUAUAAGUUAAAUUACUAAUUACAAAUUUACCCACUAACAACAUAAUACUGUUAAAUUUAUUAUCAAAUAAAUUUUAUAAUUUUAUCAACAAGAUUAACGAGUUUAAAUUAAUAUACAUAACUUUCAAUUUUAUUCGCUAAUUCCGUUUAUAAAUUUUAUGGCCAAAUAAUUAUUGAAAAAAAAAUUUAAAAAAAUAAAAAUAAAAUAAAAUAAAUAAAAAUUCACGAAAUCACCGCCUGCAUAUUACUUGCAAGCCUGAAAUCAACUAUAUAUCUUUUUAUAUUAACAAAUCAAUCAUAUAAUUAUAUAUAUAUAUAUAUAUAAAUAUAAUUUACAUGAAUCACUGCUUUGCAACUUGAACCAAAAUCAUGUUCCGAAAUUUAUUUAUUUAGCAUAUUCAAUAUAUAUAUAUAUAUAUAUAUAUAUAAUAUACUCCAAUGUCCUCCAUUCCAAAAAUAAUCUGACAAACUUAUUUUAUAUAUAUAUAUAUAUAUAUAUAUAUAUAUAUAUAUAUACACACAAGUCAAAUCAGUCAUGUAUGCUUUUUUUUCCAAUUCUAAAUCAUGAAAUUAAAAGAAGUUUGAAACAUAAAAAUCCUUGAUAUGGAGAAACACACCAAAAAAAAACCAACCUGAUGAUCCUUUUCUGAUUAUUUCGUACACAACUUCCCUCACAAUAUAAUUAGAGGCGGCUUUCUCAUUUUCUCUUUCUAAGGUUGUAUAAGGAAAAAAAUAAGAUUAGGUUUAGUUAUUUAUUUAUUAAUAAAUCUUAUUAAUUCUCCUAAUUAUAAUUGGAUUUAUUACUACCGACAUUUAAUUAAAUUAAACUCAAUUAAUUUUAAAGGCCCAAAUUGUACUAAAUUAAUUUACCCAUCUCUUAUUAAUAUUUAUUAGCCCACACAAAUUAAAUAACUAGUUUGACCCAACAUAAUGGACAAAGUCCAAUUAAUAUAUUUUCAAACAAAAUAAUUUUUAUUAUUUAAUAAUAUUUUGUUUUUUUUCCCGGGUAUUACAUCACCUACCCCUUAAAAGAAUUCCGUCCUCGGAAUUCAAAAGAAUGGAACGCAUCUAAUUUUUCAAAAAGAUGCGGAUAUUUCACUUUCCGGAUUUUUAUUUAUUUAUUUUUUUACCGGGUAUUACAUUACCUACCCCUUCAAAAUAAUUUCGUCCUCGGAAUUCAAAUAAGAUACAAAAAAAAUAAUUUAGUUACGACGUAGCGCCGCCAUUUGUAACGAUCAACGCGGAUAAGUCAUCGGUCCACGUAAUUAUUCAUGUACUCGUAAAAGAUUUGUCAGCUAUCGUGUCAAGCCUUGGUAAGGUUCUUCGCGUUGCAUCAAAUUAGAUCACAUGCUCCACGAUUGGUGUUGGUCGUCGCUAAUAUCUUUGAGUUUCAUUCUUGUAAACGUACGUACUCUUCAGAACAUAAUUCGAAAGCACAAAAUUUCUCUUCAUCUAAAUACGAUUCGAAUACCCAAAAUAUUUAAAAUUAUUUUUAAUUUGUAAAACGUUUAUGUUCCACACAUGACAAAGAUUUAACAAAUUAUUUUUAUUUAAUUUUACAUAAAUUCAUGCAAAGCUCUAAGGGCAUCAGAUAAACACAAUAACUUAAAUUAUAUCACCAACUCUCACCAAGUCCUCAAGAGUUUCAAAUUAUCAUAACCUCAAAUCAAAUUAGUUCUCAAAUAUUAUAAUACCAAAAAUAUACUUCUAAGAUAUCCUUAUCAUCAUAUCAAACUCCAAGUCAUCUGCAUACGCGAACUACAACCAUUCAAGAUAUCUCAAAAUCAAUUGAAUUUCAUCACUUACUAUUUAAUCGUAUAUCAAAUCAAUCAUCCUUUAUCGCAAACCUUAAUCUAAUAAAUUUCAAUGUCUCCACAUACUAUCACAAAGAAACUUCACAGAACAUAACUCCAAUAUCCUACUAGAAAUAGUCACAAAAUUGAUCAUUAACUCCAAAUGAUUAAUCUAAUUACCUCGAACAUCAACAACUCAAAUUACAAGAAAUCAUCUAUACUUACUAAUUUUCACUUUAUCAUAAUAUGCCAUCAAUACACAAACCAAAAAUUAUCCACAAACUUAACAUAAAUCAAAAUCUAACUCAACAAAUUUCAAAAUCUCAUCUUACUACCACAAAGAAAUUUCAUAUAAAAUAAUUUCAAUAUCUUACUAGAAUAACCGAAAAGUCUAGAAUAACCAGAAAGUUGAUUUAAUCCAAAAGAUUAAUCUUAUUACCUUGAACCUCUACAACUCCUCAAAAUUACAAGAGAUCCUCUGUAUUUAAUAGCUUUCACUUUUUCAUAUUAUCUCACCGAUACACAUACCUCAAAUUAUUCACAAAUUCAACAAAAUUAAUGCACAACUCAAAGCAAAUCAAAUCCUUAAUUCUAAGAUCAGAAUAAAUUGUCACCAAAAAUAACUCUAACAAAUAAUUUUCUAAAAUCAAAUACUCGUUGAUACAAAUACUCAAAUCAUAAUCGCAUCUCAUAAAAAUCAUUUCUUAUCUGUACAAAGUAUAGUUUUAUUCACCUCAAUGAUUCAAUCACCAUUAUUAACUAAUAUCAUUGCUCCAACGCAUAACAAUGAUAAUCUUAACAAAUUAUCUCACCUUUCUCAAAUCAUCUACAACUCGAAGACUGGAGGACACUUCGUCAAAAUUAAGACACACCAAACAGAGAACAACAUCAAAUCAAACUCCUACGUAUACCCAGUGAUAUACCCACAACUCACAGGUCAAACCUAAAUAAGUUUUCUACAAGAAAGAACCUAAGCUCUGAUACCAUCUUUGUAACAUGCACCCCCUUCCCGAAAAGGAAAGGGAGGUCACGUGCAAAGCACAACAAACCUCAAAAUAAAUAAACAGAGCACUAAUAACUUCAAAAUAUUAAUAAUGAUAUCCAUCAAUGAAGUACUAAAUAUAAUUCUCCAACUAGAAUCAAAAUAAUCAAAACAACCUAGAUGGUCAAAGACAACUCUCUCAUCACACUAGCCCUGAAUCACCCCUGCAAACCUGCCGAAAGAAAAACACAGCAUGAGCCAAUUGCCCAGUACGGAUACAGAUAUACAAAAGAUAUACAACUGAUAUACGAAAAUAACUAGGACAAAAUACUGAACAAAGCCUCAAGUGCAAAUACGAACGAAAAAUAUAAUAUCCAAAGAUCUGAAUGGAAUAUAUCUGAAUCAACGUAAUGAAUAUAUCUGAAUCAACGUAAUUGACGAAACCAAUAAAAGAAUAAAGAAAUAACGAACUGAAGUAACUAACUCAAUGACUUGAACUGAACAGAAACCAACAAAACUAAUCCAAUAAAAUAAUAGGCUGAAACAAAUGGCUGGAGUUAUUUUAUACCGAAUGAGCUCAGAAAUACACAUUGCCACACAGGCAAGUCAAAAUAAUGCCACACAGGCAAGUAAAAAUAAUUCCACACAGGCAAGUCAAAUGAUGCCACACAGGCAAUCAAAACAAUGCCACACAGGCAAAUCACACAUUGGACCGCAAAUCCAAAUGUAUGCAAAUCAGAUAGGUGUGUUUGGCACAACAUCACAAAUCCGCAGAACAGAAAACUAGGGUUAACCCAUACGCCUCCCACAACAAAACACCAAAUGGCCCACUUCCUCCAGAGCCCAAAAUAUAGACGUCGUGGACUAAUCACACCGCCACGGAAAGUGUCACGUCUCUCGUGCCAAGACGACGUGCCUGUGGUACCCCCACAGGUGGUUAUAACUCAGGUAUACUCUACGGUAUAUUCUAACAAAAAUAUCAUGUCACAACACAUGCGACAUAAUACCAACAAAAGGGUUCUAUAUGUACAUGUUGAACCGAAUCAAAUUAUAGUCACAAGGUUUCAAAAGGAAGGUAGCAACAUGUACCGCUCUACAAUUAUCAAAAUAAAUAAUACUAAACAUGAUAACCUAAUUCAAAGAGUACAAAUACGAGUCAUACGUAUCAACUCUAAAAUGAAACUAAUAUAUUUAUUUCACAAGAAACAAUUAUGUGAAAUCAUAAUAGAAUUCGAAAUAAGGAAACAAACGAACAAAUCAAAUUUAACAAAGGUAUCGCUGAAAGAGUACGGAAUCCGUACCUGAUACUUCCAAACCAUUUAUAGCACACUCCACAAAAUCUUACCCUCAAAUGCCAACGAUAUCAAAUACGAAACGUUAUUCAUCACCUAAACAUAUUCACCUCAAAUUAAAAAUAAUCCAAACUAAUAAUUCUAAAAUAAUUCAUAAUCUAUUUAAUAUGCCUUUAAUCAUCGCUUUAUAUCAAUUAUUAAUACUCCAAAAUUUAUAUUCCAAGUAUAACUCUUUAAAUCCCCUUCGUUCGAACUAAUUACACAAAUUAACAAAAAUUAAUAAAUAUCUAUAAGUUAAAUUACUAAUUACAAAUUUACCCACUAACAACAUAAUACUGUUAAAUUUAUUAUCAAAUAAAUUUUAUAAUUUUAUCAACAAGAUUAACGAGUUUAAAUUAAUAUACAUAACUUUCAAUUUUAUUCGCUAAUUCCGUUUAUAAAUUUUAUGGCCAAAUAAUUAUUGAAAAAAAAAAUAAAAAUAAAAUAAAAUAAAUAAAAAUUCACGAAAUCACCGCCUGCAUAUUACUUGCAAGCCUGAAAUCAACUAUAUAUCUUUUUAUAUUAACA